rnacentral:rRNA from 1 species
UACGUAGGGGGCAAGCGUUGUCCGGAUUUAUUGGGCGUAAAGAGCUCGUAGGUGGUUCGGUAAGUCGGAUGUGAAAUCUCCAGGCUCAACCCUGAAACUGCAUUCGAUACUGCGCGGCUAGAGUGCUGGAGGGGAGACUGGAAUUUACGGUGUAGCAGUGAAAUGCGUAGAUAUCGUAAGGAAGACCAGUGGCGAAGGCGAGUCUCUGGACAGCAACUGACGCUGAGGCACGAAGGCCAGGGGAGCAAACGGG